CAACAAACAUGUUUGCAUUAAUGUGAAGGGUGAUACUGAGAUCUCGACUGCAGUAAAUGGGGAAGGUCUGGCUCAAAAGCGGUGGUUUUAAUGCGCAAGCUGUCACGCAGCUGCUGGUAAAAGUUGACGAGGGAGUUGUUGGUACCGGCGGCGACACUCCGUGUCACACUUCAGCUCAAUGAGCUCCAACUGCAGGUGGGCUGGAACGUCACUGAGAUCCAUGGAAACAGGGUUAGGUGAGGGGAACCGAACCCUCCCUCUCCCAGUAUAGGGGACAUAAUUCCCCUUCCGGGAUCAGGGGGGAGAUGCACGGUCAUCCCCCUGCGCCAUCUCCCGUCUCCAUUUCCCCAUUCCUCGCGGCGUGCCUGCUGGCCCCGCCGGUCAUAGUGGACCACUUUCCACUCUCCCCCAGUCAUCCUUGUUCCAAUUUUCUUUUUUCUUUUUCCAAAUGAAUUGUAUAGAGUAGUCUUUGUUAUUUAUGUAAUCUUUUUUUGUUUUAGAUGUGCUAUUUAUUAAUAGGUAUGCAUUUGUAAUAUAUUUCUAAUCAUAACAACCGAAACCCACAAAAAAAACAAAACAAUCCCCCCAAAACCUUUUUUUGUCAACCAAACUGUGUGCCUCGUCAACGUUUCGGCUCUAAGGAGCCUUCCUCAGGUCUUGGCACACUGAAUUAAAUAAAUGCACUUGUACAAAAAAGUGAUGUUAACUGUCCGAACAUCGAAACCAAACUGAGUUAGUAAAAACGUUCUUCCCUUUUAUACCCACUGUUUUUUUGUCCGAUGUUUAAAAAGAUCUUUUAAAAGAAUAUGUGCAAAGUGCUUGUGUGCGUUGUGCCACACGUGAUUGUGUGUGCAUCCAGGGGUCUGUGCGUCCCAGUAGCAAAAGCAGCAUGAAGCUUAAGAUCAUGCCCAAGGUGAAGAGGGAGAAGGAAAAGCUCCACAAGCAGAAGUCAAACCGCUCGCUCUCAGGUUGGAACAGCCGAUAAAGCACACCCAAAGUCAUCGAGCAGACAAAUCGGAAUGUGGAGUGUUGUUUUGAGUAGGUUACUUUGCUUCCCUCUUGUGGCCUGGUGAGGUAAAGUUUGCAGCUGCAUGGCCAGCAACUUGAAGCUGCAUUCACA